rnacentral:rRNA from 1 species
GACGAAGAGGGCUAGCGUUGUUCGGAAUUACUGGGCGUAAAGCGCGUGUAGGCGGUUGUCCAAGUUGGAUGUGAAAGCCUUGAGCUUAACUCAAGAAAUGCAUUCAGGACUGGAUGACUAGAGGACCGGAGAGGAUAGUGGAAUUCCCAGUGUAGUGGUGAAAUACGUAGAGAUUGGGAAGAACACCAGUGGCGAAGGCGGCUAUCUGGACGGUUUCUGACGCUAAGACGCGAAAGCGUGGGGAGCAAACAGG